ensembl:lncRNA
UAGUAUUAUCAGAAAAUAUGUUCCUAAUGUUACUAUUUGAAUAAAUUGAUAACACUACCUCUGAACGUUCUUACUGCAUGACGCUCAUGAUGGCCAUCACGGAAAGUUGGUGCAUGAUUUUUUUUUUCUUUCUUUAAGAUUAUCGUUUUUAUUUAAAUUGCUAUUUUAGAAAUACAAAGUUAUUUUCAAAUAUUAGUAUCAAAUAUACCAGUGUGUGUAUGGCUGCUGCUAUAUUGCAUGUACACAUACUUUUGAGAUAGGAACCUCCUCCUUCAAGCAUGAUGAAACUCAUUUCUUUUGAAAAUAAAAAUCACUAUCUAUAAUUACAUUAAAUAUUUGGGUGCUUACAGUAAUACCAAAUGCAUGAAAUUCAUUCUAGGCUUGUGCCUUAUGAAGAUGUUUCAAAAAAACUGCUUGCUGCAAAAAGGCUACUUGCAUUUCAAACAGUGUUUCUGGCAAUAUCACAGUGUAAUUAUUUUACAGAUAUGCAGAUGAUUCCACUGAAUUUACAAAUAAUGAAGAUUAGCAGAUUGGUGGAACGAGUGGCUCAUAAGCCAGAGGUUCUGAGUUGACCGCUUGACAUGGAAUUGAGUGGAAGUUUUACAGUGGCAUAAAGAUGUGGACAGUGCUGUUGCUCUUACCUGCUUCUGUUUAAGUCCAGUAAACAACCGUAACGAGGCAAAGCAGGCUCUAAAAUGUAGGAUGUGUUCAGAACUCAAUUAACUCCAGCUCUCAGGUACACAUGAGAACUUCUAAGUGAUCAGUAUUGUGGAAUGCUGCUUAACUCUCUGUAAAUAAUUAAUUAGUUUCAUUAUAUUGUAGAUAAGUGGACUGGGGUAGGGAAGGCAAUGUUUCAUCUAUACUUGUUUCUUAAUAUUAAAAGAAUGGGUUGCUUCACCCACUUAAUUUGAAAGAACGUGCACAAUGCCUUUCUUGCACCGUCUGAAAGGUGAUUCGUCACAAAAAGUGCUAGUAGUUAGAGAAACAUGUAGAACAUUGAUAUUGUAAACUACAAAUAUUUAGAUGCAUAGUUUGUAGCUGAAGUUCACUUUAUGGUUUUAAUCAUCAUGAGCAAGAGUAGUGUUUAAGAACUAAUAAUGGUUGUAACUUUUUUACGGUUAUCACCUAAAGUUCUGUAGAGUUGCUCUACGCUUAAAGCAGCAAUGUACUCAAUAUUACAUUGAUAAGUGUGCGACUAUGUGAUUACAACAAAUAUACUGAUUUGUUUUUAAUUGUUGCUAAACUGUAUUUUCAUUUCAGUUAAUUGAUUUAUCUGUCCUUUUCCAGUUGAACAAUUAGAGUGUUGAAAGGCUUUUUUGUUUUUAAUGCAUUAGGAAAAAUGAAUUUACAUAAAUAUCAUUUCAUCAGUCACUGUGUAGGCUAAAAUUAUGCUUAAGUGAAAGAUUGUUACAAAUAGCUACUUUUGCAGAAGCACUACAGAACAUUUUAGGUAGAUUUUAUUGUUUGUUUGGUGUGUAAUCCAUAGCACAAGGCCUAUGUGUUUUAAUGUAUGUAAUUUAUUCACUUGAUAUCAGUGUGGAAAACCCCCUCCUUUUUUUUCUGGUUGGCAGUGUUCUCCAACUAGGUAUUUCUGAUGCAUCUCACUUCAGUCUGUAAUUUUGUUUAAUUUCCUUUGACAUUAAAUCAUCUGUUUUAUGACUAUACUAAAUCAAUUACUUUUGGUAGACUGGUCAGUUCAGUAGAUUAGCCACAAGAAUGGCAGUCAGGGAAGAAGAUAUGUAGGUACUUUGGUUUUAUUGAAAGUAUGUGUGUGUGUGUGUGUGUGUGUGUGUAUAUAUAUAUAUAUAUAUUCCAGUUCUUUGAUGUUUUUAUGCAUUUCCUAUCAAUGUUGGUUUUCUUUGCUGCUUAUUCAAUAUCAGGAAGACUUUUCUAUUUAAUCCCUAUGAUACCUGUGUUAAUGUCAAGGUCUUUGAAUUGCUAGAUAUUCUCCCCAAGUCCAAUCAAGCAAUUUGCAGUCAAUCUGCUACAAGCUAUAAGCAUACAGAAAAUUUAUCAAAAUAAUACAGAAGGCAAAGCAGGUUAAAAUUUUAGUCAUCAACCAGUGCCGAUUCAGCCCCAGAAAGCCCGGCGAUGAUGUGACAAACUGUAGUUCUGCUUAACCUGCUUAGUUCAGAGGACUCUGAAAUGAAAAUUCUUUGGUAUUUGAUCUUUUGAAUUCAUAAAGUUUUGUCUGAGAUUUUUGAUUUGGGGCAUGAGGGUUAUUUUGUUUCUUUUGCAUUGACUAUUGCUAAUUAUUUGGGGAAGAAGGAAGGAAUGGAAAGCUACUUUUGUCCUGGAGUAAUACUGGAAAACGUUGUUGCAUAGGAGAGGUGUUUUCUAUGGGAAUGUUCUUGCUAUAUCCUUGCAAAACAUGUCAGUGUUUUAAAAAACAAUCCUGUCAAUAGAUGGAACAGGAAGAAAGCUGAGCUCAGGUAAAACUUCGUAUGAAGAUUGCUGUUGAUCGUGCUUAGUGUUUUUUUUUUAAUCUCUUGAGUAAAGAAACAGGCUGAAGAAACAGGAGUUUUCUCUUGCACUAAUUGCCUAAAUAGAAAAUGAUCUUGCAGAAAUCGGGAGACAAAUCCGUUACGGAGAGAGAUGCCCUUGUGAAAGGGAAAACAUUGUUUUGGGGGAAGAAUAAUAGCAGAUAGAAAAUGGUGACUGACUGCAUUAUGGUCACAGUAAAGAUGAAUGGCAAAGUCCAAAAGAUGAACUAUGCGUCCUGUUUCCUUAAAGUCAGUGCUUCCAUUGGCCUUUUAUUGACUGUGAAAGUGUUGAGAUCAAAUUGGGUUGAAUUAGCAUGUUACAUAAAUCAAGCUUAAAUUCAAGCUUGUCUCUCAGUGCAUAUCAUUGUUGUUACAUUUGUCUAAAUGUAUUUACAAGUCUGGCCAGAUAGGCUACUUUAAAAGGAAAAUGCACCAGCAGGUGGAGCAAAUAGAUAAAAAUGCUUUAAUUAUACAGUUUUACAGCUACAUUUAUUAUUGUCAGUUUUAGGAAAAGUACAAAAUUUUGUUUAUUAAUUCUUGAAGAGCAUCACCUAUCAAUGAAAAGGGAAAGCAUUUUAUCACCAUAUCCUUCAUUGUAUAAAGUGGGAACUACAUUUGAAGUUAACUUGAAUUCUCCUUGUUUGUAAUUACUACAAAAAUAAAUAAAGGUUAAAAGAAAAAAAAAAAAAGCGG